rnacentral:rRNA from 1 species
AGACCGGUCUACUGGUCGUGCUUUUGUACGUACUGGUUUUAUUGGUUUCUCCUUUCUGACGAACUAUAAUGCCAUUAAUUUGGUGUUGUGGGGAAUCAGGACUGUUACUUUGAAAAAAUUAGAGUGUUUAAAGCAGGCUCACGCUUGAAUACAUUAGCAUGGAAUAACGGAAUAGGACGUUUGAUUCUAUUUUGUUGGUUUCUAGGAUCGACGUA